AAAUAGGGUAAACAUCGUUAAUAACUGUUUGCAUCCGGUUAUAUUAGUCUGAGCGCACUUUGAUGCUUCUCGAGCUAGCUUAGGCUGCUAGUUAGCUUAGCUUGUUAGCUGCUAACAAAGAGAGGCGGAAGUGAUCAAAACACAUCACUAAGUAGAGAUCAAGUGUGAGUGUAAAGUGUUGUGAUUGUGUGAAAAUGUGCCAAAGAACCACAGCAGAGUACGAGGAGGAACUUUGUCCAACAAAAGAGGAGAAGGAGCGACAACAUGAAAAACAUCAAGUUGUGUUACACAGAACAGACAUCCAUCAGCCGAUUGAACACCAAGAAGAAUGUCUCCCUCAUCUGCAGGGGGACAGUUUCACUUUAGAAUAUCCACAGCCCUCACAUUUUAAAGGGGACAAGGGGGAUUCACAGCCCUUUUAUUUUAAAGAGGAAGAGGAGGGAGAGUGUCCUGUAGGGCAGGAGGAGGCUGAUGUCAGCAAGUUUCCACUGACUGUUGUCUCUGUGAAGACUGAAGAGCAUGAAGACAAACCACCUGAGUCCUCACAGCUUCAUCACAGUCCAAAAAGAGCGGUAACAGCCAAUCAGCAGUGCAUAUUCAGAGCAGUAACAGCCAAUCAGCAGUGUGUAUUCAGAGCGCAAGGAGUCAGUGGUCCACCGUCGUCAUAAGCAGACGUUGAAGAAGAACCUCUACCCCAUGAGCAGGAGAAGGAACCACAGUCCCCCAACAUACGCGAGAAAAAAGAGGUACCACAUUCCCAGCACAGCAAAGAGGGAGGAGAGGAGCCACAUCCCCCCCACAUUAAAGAGGAAGGCGAGACGCCACAGACCCAUAAUGUUAAACUGACCCUUCACAUUAAAGGGCAAGCGGAGGACCCACUGAUCUUACACAUCAAAAGGAAGAGGAGGACCCACUGACCCCUCACUUUAAGGAGCAAGAGAACCUGCUGACCCCUCACAUUAAAAAGGAAGAGGAGGACCCACUGACACCCUACUUUAAAGAGGAAGAGGAGGACCAAGAGCCGCCGCACAUUAAAGAGGAAGAGGAGGAAGAGGGCAUCAGUCAGCCUAAAUGGUUGGAGGAGUUCCCAGUGACUGGUGUCCCUGUGAAGAGUGAAGAUGAUGAGGUGAAAGGUGAAAGUGAGGAGAGGGGAGGGGGGGAGCCUCCAAGCAGCAGCUCAACACAACACAUGACAACAGAAGCUGAUGGAGACCACUGUGGAGGAUCACAAGCAGACAAGCUCUUAGCUCCACUAUCAGAUAGUGAGGACACAACGUCACACUCUCCUGACACUGAUGAUGAAGACUCUAAAGAUGAUAAGACAUGUCACACUGACAACACUCACUUCACAUCUUCUCACUGUCACAAAACCCUUAAAUACCAUUGUAGUCUGAAAACACACAUGAGAACACACACUGGAGAAAAACCUUUUUCUUGUUCACUCUGCAGUAAAGGUUUUAGACAAAGUAUCAAUUUGAAAGUACACAUGAGAACACACACUGGUGAAAAACCUUUUUCCUGUUCAACCUGUGGUAAAGGUUUUGCACAAAGUCAGGAUGUGAAAAGACACAUGAGAACACACACUGGUGAAAAAGCUUUUUCCUGUUCAAUCUGUGGUAAAGGUUUUACAAGAAGUACAGAUGUGAAAAGACACAUGAGAACACACACUGGGAAAAAAUCGCAUUCCUGUUCAAUCUGCAACAGAAGCUUUUGUGACCGAUCAAACUUUGUAGCACACAUGAGAAGACACCCAGGAGAGAAAGUGUUGAGUUGCAGUGUGUGUGGUGAAAGAUUGUCUUCUAAGUAGCAGUGUAAGAAACACAAGUGUGCUGGUGAGAACAGCAGCAGCAAAUGAAACUGCAGGAUUUGAAAUAAACUGUCCAGACUUUCAUUUUGACUUUCUAACAACAUCAGCACAUAUAACAUGUGUGACAUUGUUGUUUGUCUAACAAUCUGUUUAAUAUGAUCUUUACAUUUAUAGAUUACAUAGUUUGAAAUAUAAAAUUAUUACUUAUUUGUACUUCUAAUUGUUAAUAAUCCCAUAGAUUAUCACCUUUAUAUGAUAUACAUAUGUACUGGUUCACAUCUGAAACAUCUUCUGGACCACUUCAGGAAGCAUAUUAUUAUUUACUUUAUACAUCAUUUAAACAGUUGUCUUUUAUACAAUUUUAAAAUGUGUGAUUUUAUGAAUCAUUUGUUGGGAAUCUGUAAUCCAUUUUAUUAUUAUCUUUAUUACUCUCUUUUGUAUUAUGAUAAUUGUGUUGUGAUUAUUUUAAAUGUAUGUCCCCAGACCUCUAUGCAAUAAAAAGUGAGAGAAAAUGUCUGAA